AGAUUAAGUUAUUAAGGGCGCACGGUGGAUGCCUUGGCACUAGAAGCCGAUGAAGGACGUUACUAACGACGAUAUGCUUUGGGGAGCUGUAAGUAAGCUUUGAUCCAGAGAUUUCCGAAUGGGGAAACCCAGCACGAGUUAUGUCGUGUUAUCUGCAUGUGAAUACAUAGCAUGCAAGAAGGCAGACCCGGAGAACUGAAACAUCUUAGUACCCGGAGGAAGAGAAAGAAAAAUCGAUUCCCUGAGUAGCGGCGAGCGAAACGGGAAGAGCCCAAACCAAUAAGCUUGCUUAUUGGGGUUGUAGGACACUCUGUACGGAGUUACAAAAGAAUUUGUUAGACGAAUAACCUGGAAAGGUUAAUCAGAGAAGGUAAUAAUCCUGUAGUCGAAAGCGAAUUCUCUCUUGAGUGGAUCCUGAGUACGACGGAGCACGUGAAAUUCCGUCGGAAUCUGGGAGGACCAUCUCCUAAGGCUAAAUACUCUCUAGUGACCGAUAGUGAACCAGUACCGUGAGGGAAAGGUGAAAAGUACCCCGGAAGGGGAGUGAAAGAGAACUUGAAACCGGAUCGGAACAAGUAGUCAGAGCCCGUUAAUGGGUGAUGGCGUGCCUUUUGUAGAAUGAACCGGCGAGUUACGAUCUGAUGCAAGGUUAAGCAGAAAAUGUGGAGCCGUAGCGAAAGCGAGUCUGAAUAGGGCGAAUGAGUAUUUGGUCGUAGACCCGAAACCAGGUGAUCUACCCUUGGUCAGGUUGAAGUUCAGGUAACACUGAAUGGAGGACCGAACCGACUUACGUUGAAAAGUGAGCGGAUGAACUGAGGGUAGCGGAGAAAUUCCAAUCGAACUUGGAGAUAGCUGGUUCUCUCGAAAUAGCUUUAGGGCUAGCCUCAAGUGAUGAUUAUUGGAGGUAGAGCACUGUUUGGACGAGGGGCCCCUCUCGGGUUACCGAAUUCAGACAAACUCCGAAUGCCAAAUAAUUUAACUUGGGAGUCAGAAUGUGGGUGAUAAGGUCCAUAUUCGAAAGGAAACAGCCCAGACCACCAGCUAAGGUCCCAAAAUAUAUGUUAAGUGGAAAAGGAUGUGGCGUUGCCCAGACAACUAGGAUGUUGGCUUAGAAGCAGCCAUCAUUUAAAGAGUGCGUAAUAGCUCACUAGUCGAGUGACACUGCGCCGAAAAUGUACCGGGGCUAAACAUAUUACCGAAGCUGUGGAUUGUCCUUGGGACACGGGUGGGAGAGGGUUCUAUAUAGUGUAGCAUGAUCGCAAGGACAUGUGGAGCGCUUAGAAGUGAGAAUGCCGGUGUGAGUAGCGAAAGAGCGGUGAGAAUCCCGUCCACCGAUUGACUAAGGUUUCCAGAGGAAGGCUCGUCCGCUCUGGGUUAGUCGGGUCCUAAGCUGAGGCCGACAGGCGUAGGCGAUGGAUAACAGGUUGAUAUUCCUGUACCACCAUUAUUCGUUUUAAGCGAUGGGGGGACGCAGUAGGAUAGGCGAAGCGUGCUGUUGGAGUGCACGUCCAAGCAGUGAGAUUGAGUGUUAGGCAAAUCCGGCACUCUUAAGAUUGAGCUGUGAUGGGGAGAGGAACUUGUUCCUCGAGUCGUUGAUUUCACACUGCCGAGAAAAGCCUCUAGCUAGAAUAACGGUGCCCGUACCGCAAACCGACACAGGUAGUCAAGAUGAGAAUUCUAAGGUGAGCGAGCGAACUCUCGUUAAGGAACUCGGCAAAAUGACCCCGUAACUUCGGGAGAAGGGGUGCUCUUUGAGGUUCACGCUUCGAAGAGCCGCAGUGAAUAGGCCCAAGCGACUGUUUAUCAAAAACACAGGUCUCUGCUAAACCGUAAGGUGACGUAUAGGGGCUGACGCCUGCCCGGUGCUGGAAGGUUAAGAGGAGUGGUUAGCGCAAGCGAAGCUACGAAUCGAAGCCCCAGUAAACGGCGGCCGUAACUAUAACGGUCCUAAGGUAGCGAAAUUCCUUGUCGGGUAAGUUCCGACCCGCACGAAAGGCGUAACGAUUUGGGCACUGUCUCAACGAGAGACUCGGUGAAAUCAUAGUACCGGUGAAGAUGCCGGUUACCCGCGACAGGACGGAAAGACCCCGUGGAGCUUUACUGUAGCCUGAUAUUGAAAUUCGGUACAGUUUGUACAGGAUAGGUAGGAGCCUUAGAAGCGUGAGCGCUAGCUUACGUGGAGGCAUUGGUGGGAUACUACAGGCGGGCAGUUUGACUGGGGCGGUCGCCUCCUAAAGAGUAACGGAGGCGCUCAAAGGUUCCCUCAGAAUGGUUGGAAAUCAUUCAUAGAGUGUAAAGGCAUAAGGGAGCUUGACUGCGAGACCUACAAGUCGAGCAGGGUCGAAAGACGGACUUAGUGAUCCGGUGGUUCCGCAUGGAAGGGCCAUCGCUCAACGGAUAAAAGCUACCCCGGGGAUAACAGGCUUAUCUCCCCCAAGAGUUCACAUCGACGGGGAGGUUUGGCACCUCGAUGUCGGCUCAUCGCAUCCUGGGGCUGUAGUCGGUCCCAAGGGUUGGGCUGUUCGCCCAUUAAAGCGGUACGCGAGCUGGGUUCAGAACGUCGUGAGACAGUUCGGUCCCUAUCCGUCGUGGGCGUAGGAAAUUUGAGAGGAGCUGUCCUUAGUACGAGAGGACCGGGAUGGACAUACCUCUGGUGUACCAGUUGUCGUGCCAACGGCAUAGCUGGGUAGCUAUGUAUGGACGGAGAGAGGUGAAAGCAUCUAAGCAUGAAGCCCCCCUCGAGAUGAGAUUCCCAACUUCGGUUAUAAGAUCCCUCAAAGAUGAUGAGGUGAAUAGGUUCGAGGUGGAAGCGUAGCGAUACGUGGAGCUGACGAAUACUAAUCGAUCGAAGACUUAAUCAA
rnacentral:rRNA from 1 species